CCUACGGGAGGCAGCAGUGAGGAAUAUUGGUCAAUGGACGGAAGUCUGAACCAGCCAUGCCGCGUGCAGGAAGACGGCUCUAUGAGUUGUAAACUGCUUUUGUACGAGGGUAAACGCGGAUACGCGUAUCUGGCUGAAAGUACCGUACGAAUAAGGAUCGGCUAACUCCGUGCCAGCAGCCGCGGUAAUACGGAGGAUUCAAGCGUUAUCCGGAUUUAUUGGGUUUAAAGGGUGCGUAGGCGGGCGGAUAAGUUAGAGGUGAAAUCCCGGGGCUCAACUUCGGAAUUGCCUCUGAUACUGUUCGGCUAGAGAGUAGUUGCGGUAGGCGGAAUGUAUGGUGUAGCGGUGAAAUGCUUAGAGAUCAUACAGAACACCGAUUGCGAAGGCAGCUUACCAAGCUACUUCUGACGUUGAGGCACGAAAGCGUGGGGAGCAAACAGGAUUAGAUACCCUAGUAGUC
rnacentral:rRNA from 1 species